rnacentral:rRNA from 1 species
UACGGGGGGGGCAAGCGUUGCUCGGAUUUACUGGGCGUAAAGGGCGCGUAGGCGGUCAGCACAAGUCAGUUGUGAAAUCUCCGAGCUUAACUCGGAAAGGUCAACUGAUACUGUGCGGCUAGAGUGCGGAAGGGGCAACUGGAAUUCUUGGUGUAGCGGUGAAAUGCGUAGAUAUCAAGAGGAACACCUGCGGCGAAGGCGGGUUGCUGGGCCGACACUGACGCUGAUGCGCGAAAGCUAGGGGAGCGAACGGG